rnacentral:rRNA from 1 species
GAUGAACGCUGGCGGCGUGCCUAAUACAUGCAAGUCGAGCGAACGGAUGAGAAGCUUGCUUCUCUGAUGUUAGCGGCGGACGGGUGUGUAACACGUGGAUAACCUACCUAUAAGACUGGGAUAACUUCGGGAAACCGUAGCUAAUACCGGAUAAUAUUUUGAACCGCAUGGUUCAAAAGUGAAAGACGGUCUUGCUGUCACUUAUAGAUGGAUCCGCGCUGCAUUAGCUAGUUGGUAAGGUAACGGCUUACCAAGGCAACGAUGCAUAGCCGACCUGAGAGGGUGAUCGGCCACACUGGAACUGAGACACGGUCCAGACUCCUACGGGAGGCAGCAGUAGGGAAUCUUCCGCAAUGGGCGAAAGCCUGACGGAGCAACGCCGCGUGAGUGAUGAAGGUCUUCGGAUCGUAAAACUCUGUUAUUAGGGAAGAACAUAUGUGUAAGUAACUGUGCACAUCUUGACGGUACCUAAUCAGAAAGCCACGGCUAACUACGUG